GUGUCAGCAGCCGCGGUAAUACGUAGGUGGCAAGCGUUGUCCGGAUUUAUUGGGUUUAAAGGGUGCGUAGGCGGUCCAUUAAGUCAGUUGUGAAAUACGGCAGCUUAACUGUCGAGGUGCAAUUGAUACUGGUGGACUUGAGUACUGAUGAGGUAGGCGGAAUGGACGGUGUAGCGGUGAAAUGCUUAGAGAUCGUCCAGAACACCGAUAGCGAAGGCAGCUUACUAAAGAGUAACUGACGCUGAGGCACGAAAGUGUGGGGAUCAAACAGGAUUAGAUACCCCCGUAGUCC
rnacentral:rRNA from 1 species